rnacentral:sRNA from 1 species
CUCCUGAGUGGCUGGAAUUACAGGUGCGCACCACCACACCCAGCUAAUUUUUGUAUUUUUAGUAGAGACGGGGUUUCAUCAUGUUGGCCAGGCUGGCCUCGAACUCCUGACUUAAAGUGAUCUGCCCACCUCAGCCUCCCAAAGUGCUGGGAUUACAGGCGUGAGCCACCACACACAGCAAAAGUUUUCCAAAAUGAUUUUUCUUUCCUGUUGUAGUUCGAUACCUCAAUGCCUAUACUGGAAUAGUGCUACUUCGAUGCAGAAAAGAAUUCUAUCAGCUUGUGUGGUCAGCUCUUCCCUUCAUCACAUACUUGGAGAACAAAGGACACCGUUACCCAUGCUUUUUCAACACAUUACAUGUGGGAGGUACAAUAAGAACAUGUCAGAAGUUCCUAAUUCAGUACAACAGGAGACAACUGUUGAUCUUGUUGCAGAACUGCACUGAUGAAGGAGAGCGGGAAGCUAUCCAGAAGUCUGUGACAAGAAGCUGCUUA